UUUGCCACUGAAUUCAUAUCCAAAGGAGACUUUGUUGUGGAGUACCGAGGUGAACUGCUUACACAACAGGAGAGCGAGGUCCGAGCUGAUCAGUACAAUGAUUCUGAAAAGGUGUUUAUUUUCACUGGAAAGGAAGAACAUGGUGCAUUGAUGCAUCUGAAGAGGACUCCUCCCUUGGGAGACUCGUUAAUGAUGAUCACAAAAAACACAAUCUCAAAAUGAAGGCCAUACAAGCAAACGAUGAGCCACACUUAUGCCUCUUCGCGACUUGAGAUAUUGUAGCUGGCGAAGAGUUGACUUAUAGUUACGGUGAUUCUGACUGGCCAUGGACAACACAGGUCAUCAAAGCUGAUGUGUCGUCCAGCCCAAAACUUAUGCCCCGCAGCAAGUGGUGGAAGGUGAAUGCCUGGAGGUUGUCUGGGACGUUUUGACUGGGGGUUCUCAACUCCUCUUUGAGGAGGUGGGGUCCCCUAGUCUCGGCCUGGCAGCUUUCAGGGAGGAAGAAAU